rnacentral:rRNA from 1 species
UACGGGGGGAGCAAGCGUUGUUCGGAUUUACUGGGCGUAAAGGGCGCGUAGGCGGCCACCGCAAGUCGACUGUGAAAUCUCCGGGCUUAACCCGGAAAGGUCAGCCGAUACUGCGGGGCUAGAGUGCAGAAGGGGCAACUGGAAUUCUCGGUGUAGCGGUGAAAUGCGUAGAUAUCAGGAAGAACACCCGUGGCUAAGGCGGCUCUCUAGUACGUGACUGACGCUGAGACGCGAAAGCGUGGGGAGCGAACAGG